UACGGCGGUUAUAGCGAUGGGGAAACGCCCGGUCCCAUUCCGAACCCGGAAGCUAAGCCUGUCUGCGCCGAUGGUACUGCACUCGACAGGGUGUGGGAGAGUAGGACGCCGCCGAACACCCGUUUGCG
rnacentral:rRNA from 1 species